GUUUAUAUAGUUUAACAAAAACCUUAGUCUUGUAAACUAAUAUUCGGGAAACCGUAUAAACG
rnacentral:tRNA from 1 species